GAAUAACUCUGAAGUGGGGUACUGUGGUACAUUAAAGCCUUUUGCACAUAGUGAGGCUCGCUAAUCUUGAGCUGCUGUUGCUUGUUGAAUGUAAAGGACCGAAUACUUUGAUAAGCAUGAGUCAAGAGGGGAGACUGAGACCACCCGCUGGGUGAGUGUGAGGUGUGGGGGUGGAGAAACGCCACCAGAUAUGUGCGAGAAUUGGUUGGGACUUCAGAACGUUCUUACUCGUCCCAUUCGGAGGAUGCUUCGUAACUCUGCUCCAUGAUCUGGAAGGGGCCAUCACAAACAGCUUGAUUCCAGGAUGAAUUUUUAGAUGUGAUCUACUGGUUCCGACAGAUCAUUGCUGUGGUCCUGGGUGUCAUUUGGGGAGUUUUGCCAUUACGAGGGUUCUUGGGAAUAGCAGGAUUCUGCCUGAUCAAUGCAGGAGUCCUGUACCUCUACUUCAGCAAUUACCUACAGAUUGAUGAGGAAGAAUAUGGUGGCACGUGGGAGCUCACGAAGGAAGGGUUUAUGACCUCUUUUGCCUUGUUCAUGGUCAUUUGGAUCAUCUUUUACACUGCCAUCCAUUAUGACUGAUGGUGUACAGCUCCCAAGUGCUCCCUAUCCAGUCCAAAGGACCCUCUUGAUUACAGCACAGGAACUUGAUCGUUGGGGAACCCCAGCCCCUUGGAACUUGGAAGACCCGUGUUUCCUGGACCGCGAAUCAGUGUGUUGGGCAUCAGUGUUUUCUGCAAGGGUUGUGACCUGAAACUUUUUAAAAACCACCCACCUUUGGGGAAGCAUUUCUGAAUUUAUCCAUCACCAACCAUUUCUUCUUGGAUACCAUCAAGUAACAGCUAUUAUUUGCCAAGUGGAGCUGUCAUUUAAUUUGAUGCACCUCUGGAUUCAGAUGAAACAUUAAAUUGUCUU
rnacentral:lncRNA from 10 species